rnacentral:lncRNA from 1 species
AUGCCCGGAAGCCAUCUUCAAGGUCCUCCUCCGAACCUUGGCGAGGACCCCUGCGCUCGCCGCGCCGUUGACCCCGCUAGCGUGCGGCUGCGACCCGGCACGGCACGGCAGCUAUUGGCGGAGGCCCCCGACUCCGAGCAUGUGUCCGCAGACCGCGAGCCGAGAGGCGGCCUGGGUGGCUGUUGGGUUCGUGGCGCUCCCGAAGCGUGGCAAAGGCCUAAAAACGGUCUCGGCCAGCGGAAGGCGGCAAGAGGAGAGGAGCAAGGCUCCACGCGAGGCGGCCGGCGGCUGGAGUCCCAGUCAGUCUCCGCUUUGAUCCCAGAGCAGUCCACGGGAGCUUUAAAGGAAUGUUUUGUGAUUUCACCAAUGAAUAGAAUACCUCUGCCAGUUUCUGGGCCUAGGACUUAAGAAACUGGCAGCUUCUACUUCCUGUUUCUUAACGCAUCCACUCUUGGAACCCAAAUGAUAUUCUGUGAAGAAGACUAAGGGAACCCACGGAGAGGCCCACAUGGAGAAAAACUCAAUCCCCACUCACCCGCUAUCCCAGGCUGUCAGCCAGCACCACCUUGUCUUGCCAGCCAUGUGAGUGAGCCAUGUUGGAAGUGAAUCCUCCAGGCCCAGUGAGCCAUUUAAACUGACUGAAGACAGCGGCUCUGUCCAUGUGUACAGAGAGCUGGAAGUGCCUGAAAAUUUAUAUUUUCCUGGGUAGUGCUUUUGCUAAUGACUAACUGGUGUGGAUGUAUAAAAGUCCAGCUCUAUGAUCUCAGACUUCUGGCCUCCAGAACUGUAAGAAAAUAAUUUUUUGUUGUUUAAGCCAUCUAGUCUGUGGUAUUUUGUUAUGGCCACCCAAGCAGACUGAUAACACUGAAUGAUGUAUAUAACUGAGUAAUAACCUAUGGAGCAAUAAGAGCACACUUGGAGCAUCUUCUCUGUCAAGCAAGAAACAAAAACAUUCUCUCACCUUAUCAAUAUUCUACAAGUUAACCUCUAACUUCUCAGGGUUGUUAACUGUUUGGACUCUCAUGUUUGUAAGGAGUGACUCAGAUGAAGUUACAAUCCCCAAGACAGCCAUAUGCCUGUGAGACAGGCUUAAUUCUCUGGCAUGUUACUAAAAUGUCAGCCAUGUGCAGUGGCUCGUGCCUGUAAUACCAGCUUUUUGGGAGGCUGAGGCAGGAGGAUCACGUGAGGCCAGGAGUUUGAGACUAGCCUGGGCAAGACCCCUGUCUCCAAAAUUACAAAUAAAUUUUUUUUAGAAAAUGUUAAAUACUGUGAA